GUUCUAGAAUGCGAAAAAGUACAUUAUCAAUUUCAAAAUCUCUCUACACCUCUAGUAGGGCAUUAGAUUCUCACCAAUGUUUGCAUUACUCAAGCUGACAUUCUCGCUUCUGCUUCGUCCACCACUUCUCGAGCGAGGGCUUCCUUCUAAGGCAGAACGCUCCCCUACUGAUGUAUUUUUACAGUCCACAAUUUUUGCAGAUCGCUUAGCCCCAUUCAUCUUCAAUGCAAGAGCGCUCGAUCAGUGAGCUAUUAUGCACUCUUUCAAAGGUUGCUGCUUCUAGGCAAAGCUGGGUUCUCAUUCCAAUGAUUUUCAUCUCCUUCUUGCGAGGACAAGAGAACACGAAGAUUGAAAGCAUCGGCUAGGCCUUUCUUUCUCUGAUUAAUUUCCUGUUCAAAGACCAAGCUAAGAACGGAUCGGAGAAGGUUACCAAGUUGAGUAGAGUGAUUUGUAUUUUAAUGAUAUUGUAGUUCACGAUAUUAUAUAGUGAAUGAAAAACUGGCAAAGCUCUAUUGGCC
rnacentral:lncRNA from 1 species